rnacentral:rRNA from 1 species
CAGUAGCCGCGGUAAUACGUAGGGUGCAAGCGUUAAUCGGAAUUACUGGGCGUAAAGCGUGCGCAGGCGGUUAUAUAAGUCAGAUGUGAAAUCCCCGGGCUCAACCUGGGAACUGCAUUUGAGACUGUAUGGCUAGAGUGUGUCGGAGGGGGGUAGAAUUCCACGUGUAGCAGUGAAAUGCGUAGAGAUGUGGAGGAAUACCGAUGGCGAAGGCAGCCCCCUGGGCCAAUACUGACGCUCAUGCACGAAAGCGUGGGGAGCAAACAGGAUUAGAGACCCCCGUAGUCCCUGUCUCUUAUAC